rnacentral:rRNA from 1 species
UACGUAGGGUGCAAGCGUUGUCCGGAAUUAUUGGGCGUAAAGAGCUCGUAGGCGGUUUGUCGCGUCGGCUGUGAAAACCUGGGGCUCAACCCCGGGCCUGCAGCCGAUACGGGCAAACUAGAAUUCGGUAGGGGAGACUGGAAUUCCUGGUGUAGCGGUGAAAUGCGCAGAUAUCAGGAGGAACACCGGUGGCGAAGGCGGGUCUCUGGGCCGAUAUUGACGCUGAGGCACGAAAGCGUGGGGAGCAAACAGG